rnacentral:lncRNA from 1 species
GGGUAUCGUUCUUUGAAGGUGCAUAGAGGGAGCACCUUAGGAGGAAGGUGAAACAGAAAAAGGAAGCAAGGCGAGCAAACCCAGAGCUGGCAUCCCUCCUAUUCUGCUCCAGGCAAGUUCUGUUCUGUGGCCGUCAUUACGCACAGACCACUUUGGGGAGAUUUGGAGUCAUGGCAACAGAGGACAUUUGGCUUAUGAAGACAAUAAGGAAUUACCAGCCAAUGGGUUGGGCAUUUGAAGUGGUGAAUGGAAUUUUACAAAGAGAGAUCAGCAUUGAUAAAGGCAUGGAGGCGUGAGUGAGCAGACAGUAUCCAACAACCAGUAGAGAAGCUCUGACCUUUCCAGGUGCCUAAUUUUUUUUUUUUUUUACAU